GAUGAAGAACGUAGCGAAAUGCGAUACGUAAUGUGAAUUGCAGAAUUCAGUGAAUCAUCGAGUCUUUGAACGCACAUUGCGCCCCUUGGUAUUCCAUGGGGCAUGCCUGUUCGAGCGUCAUUUGUACCCUCAAGCUAUGCUUGGUGCUGGGUGUUUGUCCUCUCCUUUUGCGAUUGGACUCGCCUUAAAGACAUUGGCAGCCAGUGUAUUGGUCUUGAAGCGCAGCACAUUUUGCGAUUCUUGCUGAUAAUCACUAGCGUCCAGUAAGCCUAUUUUAACACUUUUGACCUCGGAUCAGGUAGGGAUACCCGCUGAACUUAAGCAUAUCAAUAAGCGGAGGA
rnacentral:misc_RNA from 1 species